rnacentral:rRNA from 1 species
CACGUAGGCGGGAACUUAAGUCAGGUGUGAAAGACCGGGGCUCAACUCCGGGGUGGCACUUGAAACUGGGUUUCUUGAGGGCAGGAGAGGGAAGCAGAAUUCCUGGUGUAGCGGUGAAAUGCGUAGAAAUCAGGAGGAAUACCAGUGGCGAAGGCGGCUUUCUGGACUGACCCUGACGCUGAGGUGCGAAAGCGUGGGUAGCAAACA